rnacentral:rRNA from 1 species
CCUAAAGGCGCAAUGAAAGUGUCAGGGGAGGCCUCCUCAGGGAGUCCUCUCCGCAGGGAGGAUGGGCCACCCGUACGUUCACUCGUGUCGGGGCCCCGCACUCCCGGGGCGUCUCGUUCUCAUCACGAGUGGAGACGCACCAGGAGCGCACACGCUGGUACCCGAAAGAUGGUGAACUAUGCCUGGCCAGGACGAAGCCAGGGGAAACCCUGGUGGAGGUCCGAAGCGAUUCUGACGUGCAAAUCGAUCGUCUGAGCUGGGUAUAGGGGCGAAAGACCAAUCGAACCAUCUAGUAGCUGGUUCCCUCUGAAGUUUCCCUCAGGAUAGCUGGCUCUCGGGAAGAGACGAGUCUCAUCCGGUAGAGCGAAUGAUUAGAGGUGAUGGGGUCGAAACGACUUCAACCUAUUCUCAAACUCCCAAUAGAUGAGAGCCCCGGCUUGCUUAAAAGUGAAGCCGCGGGAAUCGGAUCAGAGAUGCCAAGUGGGCCAAUUUU